AAUUCAUCACGAAGUGGUUUCU
rnacentral:miRNA from 1 species